GGGACAGGACAGGGGCACAGCGGGACCCUGGAGAGCACAGACAUUUCGCUCUCACUGAAUCUGCAGACGUGGUAUCUGGGUAUGCGGACACAGCACCUAUGGUGUGGGAGGAGCUUCAGUAAGGUAACUGCACCUGUGGUGUCAGCGGGCCAAUGGGAAGCUGGCCCGGGUGUGACGUGAGGGGGUAUAAAAUAAGGGAGCAGGGCAGGGGAGACAACACAGCGGUUCUGCAAACACUCUCCUCCUGAGAUUCUGAGGUCUCAGGUUCAAUCCCCGGCGCCACCAUAAGCCAGAGACCCCAGAGACCAGCCCGCAGGACCCCGCCACAACCUCUCCGGCGCUGCUCACUCACCGCAGCUCCACUUCCGGCAACCCGGACGCAUUCGCGGCGCGCCCUGAUGACGCCACUAGGCCCCGCCCCCAUGGGGGAGGUGCGGUGCGCGUGCGUACGAGGAACACCGCGGCAAGAGAAAAAGGAGACCCUAGCACCGAGCUGGAGCUCGAGCUUGAUGUCCCUCCCCACAGCAGCAGUGAGCAGUGAGCAGGGACAGAGAUGGACCCUUCCUCACCCAGAGGCUGGACACAACUUCUCCAUGGUGGCGGGAUUCUGGUCUUAAAGAGUCUCACCCAGUGCACACC